GAUUUCAGCCUAAAUGUCCUAAAGGCACCAGAUUCUAUCUGAGCUUGGAAGCUAAGCAGGGUCAGCUCUGGGUAGUACUUGGAUGGAAGACCACCAUUAAAUCCUGAAUGCUACAGGCA
rnacentral:rRNA from 1 species